rnacentral:rRNA from 1 species
GCUUAACCAUGCAAGUCGAACGAUGAUCUCCAGCUUGCUGGGGGGAUUAUUGGCAAACGGGUGAGUAACACGUGAGUAACCUGCCCUUAACUCUGGGAUAAGCCUGGGAAACUGGGUCUAAUACCGGAUAUGACUCCUCAUCGCAUGGUGGGGGGUGGAAANCCUUUU